rnacentral:rRNA from 1 species
AGUGAACGCUGGCGGUAGGCCUAACACAUGCAAGUCGAACGGCAGCACAGUAAGAGCUUGCUCUUACGGGUGGCGAGUGGCGGACGGGUGAGGAAUACAUCGGAAUCUACUUUUUCGUGGGGGAUAACGUAGGGAGACUUACGCUAAUACCGCAUACGACCUACGGGUGAAAGCAGGGGAUCUUCGGACCUUGCGCGAUUGAAUGAGCCGAUGUCGGAUUAGCUAGUUGGCGGGGUAAAGGCCCACCAAGGCGACGAUCCGUAGCUGGUCUGAGAGGAUGAUCGGCCACACUGGAACUGAAACACGGUCCAGACUCCUACGGGAGGCAGCAGUGGGCAAUAUUGGACAGUGGGCGCAAGCCUGAUCCAGCCAUACCGCGUGGGUGAAGAAGGCCUUCGGUUUGUAAAGCCCUUUUGUUGGGAGAGAAAAGCAGCAGGUUAAUACCCCGCUGUUCUGACGGUACCCAAAGAAUAAGCACCGGCUAACUUCGUG